AUAUAUUAUUUUAUUAUCAUUCUAAUCAAAAUUUCUGGUCACACCUUAUAGCAUAGGGGUUUCAGAGGGCCCCGAGAUAUUUUGUUUUGAUCUUAUAUUUCUCGAAUCUAUGAAAAUGUUAUUCCACUAGUGUUUAUAUUAUUUUCUGAAAUGCAUAUUUUUGAAUGAUUUGAUAUAUGCUCAAUAUUUUCAUGCAAAACGGAAAAUGAAUUUUGGUAUUAUUGACCCUAUUUGUAUUGUUCUACUCUCCAAAAAUAUUAUCGAUCACGUCUAUCUUUG
rnacentral:misc_RNA from 1 species